rnacentral:misc_RNA from 1 species
GAGCAUGUGCACACUUGUCAUCUUUAUAUCUCCACCUGUGCACCUAUUGUAGACCUGGACAACUUUCUUAAUGUGCUAGCAUUCAGGUAUGAGGAUUGACUCUUCUGGCUAUCCUUGCAUCUUCAGGUCUAUGUUCUUUCAUAUAAUCUCAAAUGUUAUGGAAUGUAAAUGCUU